CCAAAGGCUCUUUUCAGAGCCAUCCUCUUUCCUGGCAGGUGAUGG
rfam:Pongo abelii chromosome 18.